rnacentral:rRNA from 1 species
AUUGAACGCUGGCGGCAGGCCUAACACAUGCAAGUCGAGCGGAGCGGCGGACGGGUGAGUAAUGCCUAGGUAUCUGCCUGGCAGUGGGGGAUAACGUCCGGAAACGGGCGCUAAUACCGCAUACUAUUAGAUGAGCCUAGGUAGGUUUAGCUAGUUGGUGGGGUAAAGGCCUACCAAGGAGACGAUCCGUCACUGGUCAGAGAGGAUGCUCAGUCACCCUGGAACUGAGACACGGUCCAGACUCCUACGGACGGCAGCAGUGGGGAAUAUUGGCCAAUGGGCGAAAGCCUGAUCCGGCCAUGCCGCGUGUGUGAAGAAGGUCUUCGGAUUUAAAAGCACUUUAAGUUGGGAGGCGUUACCAACAGAAUAAGCACCGGCUAACUUCGUGCCAGCAGCCGCGGUAAUAC